rnacentral:rRNA from 1 species
AACUCUUAGUGGUGGAUCACUCGGCUCGUGAGUCGAUGAAGAACGCAGCUAGCUGCGAGAACUAAUGUGAAUUGCAGGACACAUUGAUCAUUGACACUUCAAACGCACUUUGCGGCCCCAGGUUAGGGUUAGGGUUACGCCUGUCUGAGGGUCG